rnacentral:pre_miRNA from 1 species
AGUGGAAUUGCUGGGUCAUAUGUUCAGCGUAAGUUUCACUUUAUAAGAAGCUGCCAAAUGUUUUUCAGAGUGGUUGUACCAUUUUACAUUCCUGACAGCAAU